UACGUAGGGUGCUAGCGUUGUCCGGAUUUAUUGGGCGUAAAGAGCUCGUAGGCGGUUUGUCGCGUCGACUGUGAAAACCUACAGCUUAACUGUGGGCUUGCAGUCGAUACGGGCAGACUUGAGUUCGGUAGGGGAGACUGGAAUUCCUGGUGUAGCGGUGAAAUGCGCAGAUAUCAGGAGGAACACCGGUGGCGAAGGCGGGUCUCUGGGCCGAUACUGACGCUGAGGAGCGAAAGCGUGGGGAGCGAACAGG
rnacentral:rRNA from 1 species